AAUGACGGUACCUGAAGAAUAAGCACCGGCUAACUACGUGCCAGCAGCCGCGGUAAUACGUAGGGUGCAAGCGUUAAUCGGAAUUACUGGGCGUAAAGCGUGCGCAGGCGGUUAUGUAAGUCAGGCGUGAAAUCCCCGGGCUUAACCUGGGAAUUGCGUUUGUGACUGCAUAGCUAGAGUAUGGUAGAGGGGGGUAGAAUUCCACGUGUAGCAGUGAAAUGCGUAGAGAUGUGGAGGAAUACCAAUGGCGAAGGCAGCCCCCUGGGAUAAUACUGACGCUCAUGCACGAAAGCGUGGGGAGCAAACAGGAUUAGAUACCCUGGUAGUCCACGCCCUAAACGAUG
rnacentral:rRNA from 1 species